UACGGAGGGGGCAAGCGUUGUUCGGAAUUACUGGGCGUAAAGGGCGCGCAGGCGGCUGCUCAAGUCAGGCGUGAAAGCCCUCGGCUCAACCGAGGAAUUGCGCUCUAAACUACUGUGCUUGAGGAACCUAGAGGUGAGCAGAACAGAUGGUGGAGCGGUGAAAUGCGUUGAUAUCAUCUGGAAUACCGGAGGCGAAGGCGGCUCACUGGGGGUUUUCUGACGCUGAGGAACGGAAAGCCAGGGUAGCGAACGGG
rnacentral:rRNA from 1 species